rnacentral:rRNA from 1 species
GCCUAACACAUGCAAGUCGAACGAGAAAGUGGAGCUUGCUUCACGAGUACAGUGGCAAACGGGUGAGUAACACGUGAACAAUCUACCCUCGAGUGGGGAAUAACACCGCGAAAGCGGUGCUAAUACCGCAUAACAUCUCCGGGUCGCAUGGCCUGGAGAUCAAAAGCGCAAGUUGCUUGAGGAGGAGUUCGCGCCUGAUUAGCUUGUUGGUGAGGUAACGGCUCACCAAGGCUCCGAUCAGUAGCCGGCCUGAGAGGGCGAACGGCCACACUGGAACUGAGACACGGUCCAGACUCCUACGGGAGGCAGCCAGUAGGGGAAUUUUGCGCAAUGGGCGAAAGCCUGACGCAGCAACGCCGCGUGGAGGAUGAAGGCCCUCGGGUCGUAAACUCCU